AGCAGCAGCCGCGGGAAUACGUAGGGCGCAAGCGUUAUCCGGAAUUAUUGGGCGUAAAGAGCUCGUAGGCGGUUUGUCGCGUCUGCCGUGAAAGUCCGGGGCUCAACCCCGGAUCUGCGGUGGGUACGGGCAGACUAGAGUGAUGUAGGGGAGACUGGAAUUCCUGGUGUAGCGGUGAAAUGCGCAGAUAUCAGGAGGAACACCGAUGGCGAAGGCAGGUCUCUGGGCAUUAACUGACGCUGAGGAGCGAAAGCAUGGGGAGCGAACAGGAUUAGAGACCCCAGUAGUCCCUGUCUCUUAUAC
rnacentral:rRNA from 1 species